rnacentral:rRNA from 1 species
UACCAUGCAAGUCGAGCGGUAGCACAAAGGAACUUGCUCNCUUGCGNUGACGAGCGGCGGACGGGUGAGUAAUGUCUGGGAAACUGCCUGAUGGAGGGGGAUAACUACUGGAAACGGUAGCUAAUACCGCAUAACGUCGCAAGACCAAAGAGGGGGACCUUCGGGCCUCUUGCCAUCGGAUGUGCCCAGAUGGGAUUAGCUAGUAGGUGAGGUAAAGGCUCACCUAGGCGACGAUCCCUAGCUGGUCUGAGAGGAUGACCAGCCACACUGGAACUGAGACACGGUCCAGACUCNUACGGGAGGCAGCAGUGGGGAAUAUUGCACAAUGGGCGCAAGCCUGAUGCAGCCAUGCCGCGUGUGUGAAGAAGGCCUUCGGGUUGUAAAGCACUUUCAGCGGGGAGGAAGGGAGCAGNCUUAAUACGUCUGUUCAUUGACGUUACCCGCAGAAGAAGCACCGGCUAACUCCGUGCCAGCAGCCGCGGUAAUACGGAGGGUGCAAGCGUUAAUCGGAAUGACUGGGCGUAAAGCGCACGCAGGCGGUCUGUUAAGUUGGAUGUGAAAUCCCCGGGCUUAACCUGGGAACUGCAUUCAAAACUGACAGGCUAGAGUCUCGUAGAGGGGGGUAGAAUUCCAGGUGUAGCGGUGAAAUGCGUAGAGAUCUGGAGGAAUACCGGUGGCGAAGGCGGCCCCCUGGACGAAGACUGACGCUCAGGUGCGAAAGCGU